rnacentral:rRNA from 1 species
CCGACGGUGAGAGGCGAAAGCUGGGGGAGCAAACCGGAUUAGAUACCCGGGUAGUCCCAGCUGUAAACGAUGCGCGUUAGGUGUGUCAGUGACCACGUGUCACUGAUGUGCCGAAGGGAAACCGUGAAACGCGCCGCCUGGGGAGUACGGUCGCAAGGCUGAAACUUAAAGGAAUUGGCGGGGGAGCACCACAACGGGUGGAGCCUGCUGUUUAAUCGGACUCAACGCCGGAAAUCUCACCGGAUAA